GGGGACCUGGAGAACCUUUGUGUCUAGCUCAGGGAUUGUAAACGCAGCAAUCAGUGCCCUGUCAAAACAGACCACUCAGUUCUACCAAUCAGCAGGAUGUGGGUGGGGCCAGAUAAGAGAAUAAAAGCAGGCUGCCCCAGCCAGCAGUGGCAACCCGCUCGGGUCCCCUUCCACACUGUGGAAGCUUUGUUCUUUUGCUCUUUGCAAUAAAUCUUGCUGCUGCUCACUCUUAGGGUCCACACUUCCUUUAUGAGCUGUAACACUCACCGUGAAGGUCUGCAGCUUCACUCCUGAAGCCAGCGAGACCACAAGCCCACCGGGAGGAACAAACAACUCCAGAUGCGCCGCCUUAAGAGCUGUAAUACUCACCACGAAGGUCUGCAGCUUCACUGCUGAGCCAGCGAGACCACGAACCCACCAGAAGAAAGAAACUCCUAACACAUCCGAACAUCAGAAGGAAGAAACUCCAGACGUGCCAUCUUAAGAGCUGUAACACUCACCGUGAAGGUCUGCAGCUUCAUUGUUGAAGUCAGUGAGACCAAGAACCCACCAAUUCCGGACACAGAAGGACGAGGAAUGAAGGGUGUUCCGUGUUGGAAUGUGACUUCUAAAGACGCUCCAUAAUAUGUCAUCACAUUUGCUCCAGCAAGAAAAGAAAAGCUCUUCCCAGAUCAGCCCUCACCUCGGGUCUCCAGCCACAGUGGCCUUUCUGGACCAGCCGUCCUGGCACCUGCUCAUCCCUGUGUGUUUGCACUCAUCUCCCCUUAGUUCUGUUUGCAUGCCUGGCUCUUUUGCAUCUUCAGAUCUGUCCUCAAAUAUCACGUCUCCAGAGAGGCUUUUUCUAAAGUGGUGCCCCUCGGUCACUCUCAGUCCCAUCACCCUGUUUAAUUGCUCCCCAUCAUUUAUUGCAAUCAGUAGUGACUUUGUUGACUUGUUUACUGUGUUUUCCCACUAGAAAAUAAGAUCCCCAAACUUGGGGCUGCAUUGCGUCCACAACCGUGUUUCCAGUGCCUGGAACACAGUAGGUUCUUGAUAGACAAGACUGGAUUUCUAAAUGGUUACUUCUUCCCGGUAGACAGUAUCUUUUAAAUCCUGUAAAUGUAUUUAGAUUUUGGUUUCUUCUCUGCCUUUUUUAGACGAAAAACUAGUUUUCGAUGGAGAACAUUAUUUUGCACUUUUUCUUCCUGAAAAAUAAACCUGGUUUAUCAGGGAGAUGACUAUACUUUCUUUGAAAAUGAUGUGAGGGCUUUGAUGGCUUUAUGUUGCUCUUUAGAAAAAUCUCACAACUUUCAAUCCACUGGGAUGCAGGAGCACAUGGAACAUUGGUCCAUUAAAGUCCAAUUUUCAAAUAAUUGCUAUUGGAUUUUUUUAAAUCUUUCUUUCUUUUUCAACUGUGUGGAAGAAAUCACACUUUUGGAUGAAUUGUCUCAACACAUGUAAUUUCAAAGUCUAUGCUUCCAUGAAAGUCCUGCUCACAAUUGUUAUAGGCUGUGUCCCCCCCAAAUUUAUAUGUUGUAGCCCUAAUCCCCAAUGUGAUUUUAUUUGGAGAUAGAACCUUUAAGGAGGUAAUUCGAGCAAAUGGGGUCAUGGAUGUGGGGCCCUAAUCAGAUAGGACUCGUGUCCUUAUAAGAAAAUAAACAGACAUCACUAUCUCUUUCUCUCUUUCAUAUAAGCACACAGGAAAGGCCAUGUGAGGACACAGAGAAGGCAGCUGUCUACAAGCCAAGGACAGGGACUGAUGUGGUUUGGCUCUGUCCCCACCCAAAUCUUGUCUUGAAUUGUGGUUCCCAUGGUCCCCACGUGUGGUGGUGGGACCUGGUGGGAGGUAGUUGAAUCAUGGGGGCAGUUACGCCAAUACUGCUGUUCUCAUGACAGUGAAUGGGUCUCAUGAAAUCUGAUGGUUUUAUGGAGGGCAGUUCCCCUGCACAUGCUCUCUUGCCUGCAACCAUGUAACAUGUGACUACUCCUCCUCCUUUGCCUUACACCAUGAUUGUGAGGCCUCACUAGCCAUGUGGAACUGUGAGUCAAUUAAACCUCUUUCCUUUAUAUAU